rnacentral:rRNA from 1 species
AUUGAACGCUGGCGGCAUGCCUUACACUUGCAAGUCGAACGGCAGCACGGGUGCUUGCACCUGGUGGCGAGUGGCGAACGGGUGAGUAAUACAUCGGAACAUGUCCUGUAGUGGGGGAUAGCCCGGCGAAAGCCGGAUUAAUACCGCAUACGAUCUACGGAUGAAAGCGGGGGACCUUCGGGCCUCGCGCUAUAGGGUUGGCCGAUGGCUGAUUAGCUAGUUGGUGGGGUAAAGGCCUACCAAGGCGACGAUCAGUAGCUGGUCUGAGAGGACGACCAGCCACACUGGGACUGAGACACGGCCCAGACUCCUACGGGAGGCAGCAGUGGGGAAUUUUGGACAAUGGGCGAAAGCCUGAUCCAGCAAUGCCGCGUGUGUGAAGAAGGCCUUCGGGUUGUAAAGCACUUUUGUCCGGAAAGAAAUCCUUGGCUCUAAUACAGUCGGGGGAUGACGGUACCGGAAGAAUAAGCACCGGCUAACUACGUG